CGAGUUUGAUCAUGGCUCAGGACGAACGCUGGCGGUGCGCCUUAUGCAUGCAAGUCGAGCGAAGCUUUUCAGUAGUUUACUACAGAAAAUGACUGAGCGGCGAACGGGUGAGUAACGCGUGAGCAACCUACCUUAGUUACUGGGAUAGCCCGAGGAAACUCGGAUUAAUACCGGAUAUUCUUAUUAAAUCACAUGAUUUUAUAAGGAAAGGUCAGCCGAACUAAGAUGGGCUCGCGUUCUAUCAGCUAGUUGGUAGGGUAAUGGCCUACCAAGGCUACGACGGAUAGCUGGUCUGAGAGGACGGUCAGCCACACUGGGACUGAGACACGGCCCAGACUCCUACGGGAGGCUGCAGCAGGGAAUAUUGCGCAAUGAGCGAAAGCUUGACGCAGCGACACCGCGUGUGGGAUGACGGAUCUAGGUUUGUAAACCACUUUCAGGAGGGAAGAAAAUGACGGUACCUCCACAAGAAGCCCCGGCCAACUACGUGCCAGCAGCCGCGGUAAUACGUAGGGGGCGAGCGUUGUCCGGAUUUAUUGGGCGUAAAGAGCUCGUAGGCGGUUCAACAAGUCGGUCGUGAAAGUUCAGGGCUCAACCCUGAAAUGUCGAUCGAUACUGUUGUGACUAGGAUACGGUAGAGGUGAGUGGAAUUCCGAGUGUAGCGGUGAAAUGCGUAGAUAUUCGGAGGAACACCAAUUGCGAAGGCAGCUCACUGGGCCGCUAUCGACGCUGAGGAGCGAAAGCUAGGGGAGCAAACAGGAUUAGAUACCCUGGUAGUCCUAGCUGUAAACGAUGGAUACUAGACGUA
rnacentral:rRNA from 1 species